rnacentral:lncRNA from 1 species
CAUGCAUUUGCUUCACACACAGCAAGGGAAAGAGAUAACCUGCUGGUCGCGACUGGCGCGCGUUUACAGUUACAGCCUUGAAACAAUGCAAGACAGCGACAACGGCGGGAAUGACGACCACCCAUUGAGGAGCCACUCGACCAGUUUCGUUCUCCUUGUUGUUGUUGUUGUUUGGUUUGCUUGUUGUUGGUACAGUUUUAGGCCACGUUUACACGAAAUUAAGUUGAGUAAUUAAGUUGGCCUGCUUGGGCAUAUUUCAUGGCCUGCUUCUGGGCGUCCCACUAAAACGUUGACUCUAAAUUAUGCAUGCACAGGCCUGUCACGUGGUUGAAGCUGCUACUAAGCGACGUUAGUCAACGUCGACGACGGCGUCGACGCCACAUGCUAACAUUUUGACAGCUGCGCGGCCGCGGCGGUUGAUUCCGAUUCAAAGUCCGAGUGCGAGCCGGAUUUUGAGUUGGAGUUUAAGUUUGAGUGAGUUUUGAUUUACUUUUACUGCAACGAACUUCCGCUGAUUAUUUUCUCAGCACGUUCUAGUCGAUUUGUUAUGAUUUCUUUGGUUGUUUUCGUUUGUGGGUUAUACAAAUUGAAUUUAUUUGGCUACGCGCCACAGAGCACCGGAGCACCAGCAGAGCACAUUGCACCCACACAAAAAUCUCGCUCACACAGCUCUCUGCCACGC